UUCCGUUUCGUCUAAUCGGUAGGACAACGGUCUUUGAAGCCGUGAGUGAAAGUUCAAAUCUUUCAGCGGAAG
rnacentral:tRNA from 1 species